UUCGCAGGCGGUCUGUUUAGUCAGAGGUGAAAUCUAACGGCUCAACCGUUAACCUGCCUUUGAAACUGGCAGACUUGAGUAUUGGAGAGGAAAGCGGAAUUCUUGGUGUAGCGGUGAAAUGCGUGGAUAUCAAGAGGAACACCCGUGGCGAAGGCGGCUUUCUGGCCAAAUACUGACGCUGAGGAACGAAAGCUAGGGGAGCAAACAGGAUUAGAUACCCUGGUAGUCC
rnacentral:rRNA from 1 species